GGGUUAUAUAAUCUGCUGCUACCUAAUGGAGCCAGACAGACGGCCACACAUCCCAGGCUGUGCUCUUUGGAGAUGGCCACCAGAAAUCCAUCUUGGACUCAUCCUUUUUCAGAUGCCUAGGGCAACUGCUGACCUAGGACCAACUGAAGGUGUUACAGCCAAUGAUUAUAUUUAUCAUUAGUGCAUAAUUUUAUAUUUUUUGAUAGCAAAACAAAUGCAAUGGCGGGGGGCAGGAAUAACUAAUCUAAUACAGGUCUGGUAUUUCAUGAUUUGAGCAGUACUAUGCUAGACUGAGAUGUCAUUCAAAUUCCUGCCAUUUCUCUAACUUGUAUUCUCUGGCAAAAUGAAGGUAAGUGGGACAUUAUUUCUGUAUCUUGCUUUAUUCUAUUUACAUAUGGUGGAGUCAUUUGUUACUGUUUAUGAAUUAUCCAUGUUUUCUUAUUUGAACUCUCUAUCUCUUGCUCUCAAAGGCAGGUCUGAUUCUAUUUAUUCUAAAGACAGAGUUGGAGAUGGGCUACCAUUGGUGUUGAUUGAGAUGACAAGCAGUCACCUGAGCCCAUACAGCUGGGUUCACAGAUGUGGCUAGUCUUGCUAGCCAGCUCGCACUGUGGACAUUCUAGGGAACUGACUGCAGUCCUCAUGCUUGGAGUCAAACACUUUAACCACUGCACACGUUUAUGUAAUAGGAUUGACAUAUGAGAAUCAGAGAAAUGAAUGAAAGAUUAGAGUGGGAGAAAGUGCUUGCUGCCAAGCUUGAUGACCUAAAUUGAAUACCUGGAACCUACACGACAGAAAGAGAGAGCUGACUGCUGAAAGAUGUCCUCAGAUCUUCACAUGUGCACAGUGGCACCUAUCCAACCAUGC
rnacentral:lncRNA from 1 species